rnacentral:rRNA from 1 species
UUUGAUGUUCUAACGUGGACCCGUAAUCCGGGUUGCGGACAGUGUCUGGUGGGUAGUUUGACUGGGGCGGUCUCCUCCUAAAGAGUAACGGAGGAGCACGAAGGUUGGCUAAUCCUGGUCGGACAUCAGGAGGUUAGUGCAAUGGCAUAAGCCAGCUUGACUGCGAGCGUGACGGCGCGAGCAGGUGCGAAAGCAGGUCAUAGUGAUCCGGUGGUUCUGAAUGGAAGGGCCAUCGCUCAACGGAUAAAAGGUACUCCGGGGAUAACAGGCUGAUACCGCCCAAGAGUUCAUAUCGACGGCGGUGUUUGGCACCUCGAUGUCGGCUCAUCACAUCCUGGGGCUGAAGUAGGUCCCAAGGGUAUGGCUGUUCGCCAUUUAAAGUGGUACGCGAGCUGGGUUUAGAACGUCGUGAGACAGUUCGGUCCCUA